GACUCCUACGGGAGGCAGCAGUGAGGAAUAUUGGACAAUGGGCGGGAGCCUGAUCCAGCCAUGCCGCGUGCGGGAAGAAGGCCCUAUGGGUCGUAAACCGCUUUUAUACGGGAAGAAACCACCCCACGUGUGGGGUACUGACGGUACCGUAAGAAUAAGGACCGGCUAACUCCGUGCCAGCAGCCGCGGUAAUACGGAGGGUCCGAGCGUUAUCCGGAAUCAUUGGGUUUAAAGGGUCCGCAGGCGGGCCGUUAAGUCAGGGGUGAAAGCCCGCGGCUCAACCGUAGAACUGCCCUUGAUACUGGCGGUCUUGAGUCAUAUUGGAGUGGGCGGAAUAUGUAGUGUAGCGGUGAAAUGCAUAGAUAUUACAUAGAACACCGAUCGCGAAGGCAGCUCACUAAGUAUGUACUGACGCUGAUGGACGAAAGCGUGGGGGAGCGAACGGGAUUAGAUACCCCGGUAGUCCACGCCGUAAACGAUGGAUACUAGCUGUCCGGGACCUUGAGACCUGGGCGGCCAAGCGAAAGUGAUAAGUAUCCCACCUGGGGAGUACGUUCGCAAGAAUGAAACUCAAAGGAAUUGACGGGG
rnacentral:rRNA from 1 species